rnacentral:rRNA from 1 species
CGCGCAGGCGGUCUUCCAAGUCAGUGGUGAAAGCCCGGAGCUCAACUCCGGAACUGCCAUUGAAACUGUAAGACUUGAGGAUGAGAGAGGUGAGUGGAAUUCCCAGUGUAGAGGUGAAAUUCGUAGAUAUUGGGAAGAACACCGGUGGCGAAGGCGGCUCACUGGCUCAUUUCUGACGCUCAGGCGCGACAGCGUGGGGAUCAAACA